GCUUAACUCCGGGCGUGCAGGCGAUACGGGCAUAACUUGAGUACUGUAGGGGAGACUGGAAUUCCUGGUGUAGCGGUGAAAUGCGCAGAUAUCAGGAGGAACACCGAUGGCGAAGGCAGGUCUCUGGGCAGUUACUAACGCUGAGGAGCGAAAGCAUGGGUAGCGAACAGGAUUAGAUACCCUGGUAGUCCAUGCCGUAAACGGUGGGCGCUAGGUGUGGGGGUCUUCCACGACUUCCGUGCCGUAGCUAACGCAUUAAGCGCCCCGCCUGGGGAGUACGGCCGCAAGGCUAAAACUCAAAGGAAUUGACGGGGGCCCGCACAAGCGGCGGAGCAUGUGGAUUAAUUCGAUGCAACGCGAAGAACCUUACCUGGGCUUGACAUAUGCAGGAUCGGCACAGAGAUGUGUUUUCCCUUGUGGUCUGUAUACAGGUGGUGCAUGGUUGUCGUCAGCUCGUGUCGUGAGAUGUUGGGUUAAGUCCCGCAACGAGCGCAACCCUUGUCUUGUGUUGCCAGCACGUAAUGGUGGGGACUCGCGAGAGACUGCCGGGGUUAACUCGGAGGAAGGUGGGGAUGACGUCAGAUCAUCAUGCCCCUUAUGUCCAGGGCUUCACACAUGCUACAAUGGUCGGUACAGUG
rnacentral:rRNA from 1 species